rnacentral:tmRNA from 1 species
GGGGAUGACAUGGCUUCGACGAGGAGUUGGAUUUCAAGGAUGCAUGUCGAGGACAAAGAUUGCUCGUAAAAACGUUCUUUAAAUAAUAGUUGCAAACGAAAACAACUACGCUUUAGCAGCAUAAUGCUAACCGUUAC